GGGGGAGGCGGUGGAGGAGGGGAUCGCAAUAGGGGUGGCGGCAGAGGUCCUUACCGCCCGCCGUGGAAUCCUCCGAGGGACGACAGAGGCAGGGGCAGAGGCAGGGACAGAGGAGGAGGAGGUGGCGGAGGAGGCGGAGGCGGAGGCAACAAUAAUGGAGGUCGCAACAAUCCACCAGGUGGAGGCGGAGGCGGAGGAGGUGGAGGAGGUGGUGGUAUCUGCAUAGGUUGGUGCCCUGGCGCUGGUGCAGGUGGUGGCGGUGGUGGUGGAGGGGGUGGCGGAGGCAAAACUGUUGCAGCUACUCCUAACGAAACGACUCCAACCACAUCUACGCCCUAGUCAAGAUAAUUCUCCACGUGGGUUGUUCAUCAGACAUCUCUUUGCACAAUGUGGAAAAUGAGAGUCCUCUCUGGAUUCUCAGCUAAAGUUAAAUUUCCUUUAUGCUACACAUCUAGUACUGCAGCUUCUCAUGUAAAUUAGGAGCAGUUGGAAGCAUUGUUACUUCGAUGGGAUAAGGAUUGUCUAACAGGCUUGAAAAUCAUCAUGCAGCUUGAUAAGCAUGCGCCAGUUGAUGCAUGUGCACGCACUAAUUGUGAACCAUAGCGAAGAAAUCGUGCUGUGAAGAGCUGUAACUGACCUGGUUUUCGAAGCAAAUGACGUGUCCGAUGGGAACUAUUGACGGAAAACCAUGAACUACCGGGAAAUCCUGGGAGGACGUGAGUGCGAUAAGCGUGAUUGUACCGCGACAUACAAUCACAAUAGUUUAGACGUCUAGGUUUUGACAUUCAGUAGAAUUUUAAAAUUGUGGUUGAAUAGAAACCAGAGACAGUGCGAAGCUCUGCGAGAUGUUGAAUGAACAUCUACUACAAUUAUUAAUGUCACAAAGCAUGUUUAUUUCA